AGGCUUUGAUCCUGGCUCAGGAUGAACGCUGGCGGCGUGCUUAACACAUGCAAGUCGAACGAACCUUCGGGUUAGUGGCGGACGGGUGAGUAACGCGUGAGAAUCUGCCCUCAGGAGGGGGAUAACGGCUGGAAACGGCCGCUAAUACCCCAUAUGCCGAGAGGUGAAACGAGUUUUCGCCUGAGGAUGAGCUCGCGUCUGAUUAGCUAGUUGGUGGGGUAAGAGCUUACCAAGGCAUCGAUCAGUAGCUGGUCUGAGAGGAUGAUCAGCCACACUGGGACUGAGACACGGCCCAGACUCCUACGGGAGGCAGCAGUGGGGAAUUUUCCGCAAUGGGCGAAAGCCUGACGGAGCAACGCCGCGUGAGGGACGAAGGCCUCUGGGCUGUAAACCUCUUUUCUCAAGGAAGAAGAUCUGACGGUACUUGAGGAAUAAGCCACGGGUAUAUCCGU
rnacentral:rRNA from 1 species